GGUCUGGCAAUUGGGGACAGAGCUGGGUGCCCAGGCCCGAACGCCCACGGCAGCACCAAGCCUGCACUCCUGGAGCACCCCAAGCUUUCCAACGCCAUGGCCAGGGCACUGCACCGGCACAUUAUGUUGGAGCGGGAGCGCAAGCGGCAGGAGGAAGCGGUCGACAAGAUGAAGGAACAGAAGAUGAAGGAAGAACAGCAGGGAAGGAAGAGAAAAGAGAUGGAAGAGAGAAUGGCACUAGAGGAGACCAAGGAACAAAGUCUGAAGUUGCAGGAGAAGCUUUUGGCCCUACAGGAAGAGAAGCACCAGCUUUUUCUGCAGCUCAAGAAAGUUUUACAUGAGGAAGAAAAAUGGAGGCGAAAGGAACAGAGUGACCUGACCACCCCAACAUCAGCUGCAUACCAGCAGAGCCUGAGUGUUCACACAGGAACUCAUAUCCUCAGCAAGCAGGGGAGCCCUGGAGGACACAAUCGCCGGGGCACCCUCAUGGCAGCUGACAGAGCUAAACAAAUGUUUGGACCCCAAGUGCAUAUGACCCAGCACUACGUGGGCUCAGCAGCUGCUUUUGCAGGGACACCAGAGCAUAGAAAAUUCCAAGGCAGCCCUGGUGGUGCCUAUGGGACUGCUUAGCCCCGACUUCACUAUGGGCCCACACAGCCAGCUUAUAGUCCUAGUCAGCUCCUCCGUGCUCCUUCAGCGUUCCCUGCUGUGCAGUACCUGUCUCAGCCACAGCCCUAAGCUGUGCACAGCCACUUUCAGCCUACUCAGACAGGUUUCCUCCAGCCUGGUAGUGCCCUGUCCUUGCAAAAGCAGAUGGAACAUGCUAACCAUCAGACUGGCUUCUCCGACUCAUCCUCUCUGCUCCCCAUUCACAGGCUCUGCAUCCAGCCCCUGAGCUCCUUGCUUCCACCCAACUCCCUGUGCAUAUGCAACCAGCUGGAAAGUCAGGCUUUGCAGCUACCAGCCAACCUGGCCCUCUGCCCGCUUCAUCCAACACAGCUAGAACCCAUGAUUCAACCACAAGUGA